ACCAAAUCAAACUUCUGGAGCUUAUUCCUUAUUCUGGCGUUGUAAUGAUGGAAUAUAAUUCUUUCCUUUUUACGGUCCCACUAGUGCCAGUACAGGUCCGAAUUUAAAGUUUGGCCCAAGGAAAGCAGCUGAUAGUGAACAAUUCCCUAGAUCUCUUACGAUUUAUCCUGGGCCAGAUAUAUCCUGAGGCUGCACAGUACAGAUAGUUUACCAACGUUAGCAGAGCUGGUCUGAGGCCCAACAGACCGGUAGUGAACCACAAGAAGCAAACGGAUCUCCCACUCGUUCUCAUUCCGCAGAUAUUGAGAUUGAGAUAGCUGUCACCAAGUUAAGAUCAUCAGCCUUACAGUUUCCUGCAAUACUGCACUGACCAGGCACCCAAACAACUCAUCUUAUUAUUUACUGUUCUUACUAAAAUGGUAGAUACUAAAAAUUGCCCUGGAGGAAUUCGUUAUUUUAAUUGAUCUCCAUUGAGUUAAAAGAAAGCUUAAAAAUUGAGGAAUACUUUUUUAUAUUUACAGUUGCAGCUAAAUUAUUUCUAAAUUUCUAAACCUUAUACUUUGUACAGUUGAUGACAGGAAGUGCCCAUGCGACAGCAACUCGGCGGACAGAGCAAAAUGGUUUGGCCAGCUCUUGCUGUAGCACAAACAGUGGAUUGGCCGCGGAUCGGAAUGCAGGAUCGUUGACAAACUCUUCGAGUUACAGUCAUUUUAACGGACUUCAUACGACACUGCUGAAGUUCAGACUAUAUAAACACAGACAUUUGUUCCAAUAAUAUCAGUGAAUAAUCAACCAUUGAAACCUUCAAGACCAGAUCGAUUACAUAAAAACAAUGGCAAAAGCUUUUAGUAUAUUAUGGCUAGUGUUGGUUCUCACUUUGAUCACAGUGCAGGCUCAAAACCGUGUGUGUCAGCGAAUAGCAAUCAAAGCUCGUGCCGGUCAAAGACUUUGUGAGCGACAAUGCCCUCCAAGCCGUUUGCCUUUCUUAUGCGCCACUGUACGAAUUGUACAAACAAUUAGGUUAUGCCCGCCAAAUUGUUGCCGCAUCGGCGAUGGCUGUCGUACAUUUUAAUAAAAAAAAAUUUGGAAAUAUAUUGCUAAUAAUG